AGUGAACGCUGGCGGUAGGCCUAACACAUGCAAGUCGAACGGCAGCACAGUAAGAGCUUGCUCUUACGGGUGGCGAGUGGCGGACGGGUGAGGAAUACAUCGGAAUCUACUUUUUCGUGGGGGAUAACGUAGGGAAACUUACGCUAAUACCUCAUACGACCUACGGGUGAAAGCAGGGGAUCUUCGGACCUUGCGCGAUUGAUUGAGCCGGCGCCGGAUUAGCUAGUUGGCGAGGUAAAGGCCCACCAAGGCAACGAUCCGUAGCUGGUCUGAGAGGAUGAUCGGCCACACUGGAACUGAGACACGGUCCAGACUCCUACGGGAGGCAGCAGUAGGGAAUCUGCCGCAAGGGGCGAAAGCCUGACGGAGCAACGCCGCGUGAGUGAUGAAGGUCUUCGGAUCGUAAAACUCUGUUAUUAGGGAAGAACAAAUGUGUAAGUAACUAUGCACGUCUUGACGGUACCUAAUCAGAAAGCCACGGCUAACUACGUG
rnacentral:rRNA from 1 species